rnacentral:misc_RNA from 1 species
UCGUAACAAGGUCUCCGUUGGUGAACCAGCGGAGGGAUCAUUACUGAGUUUACGCUCUACAACCCUUUGUGAACAUACCUAUAACUGUUGCUUCGGCGGGUAGGGUCUCCGCGACCCUCCCGGCCUCCCGCCUCCGGGCGGGUCGGCGCCCGCCGGAGGAUAACCAAACUCUGAUUUAACGACGUUUCUUCUGAGUGGUACAAGCAAAUAAUCAAAACUUUUAACAACGGAUCUCUUGGUUCUGGCAUCGAUGAAGAACGCAGCGAAAUGCGAUAAGUAAUGUGAAUUGCAGAAUUCAGUGAAUCAUCGAAUCUUUGAACGCACAUUGCGCCCGCCAGCAUUCUGGCGGGCAUGCCUGUUCGAGCGUCAUUUCAACCCUCAAGCUCUGCUUGGUGUUGGGGCCCUACAGCCGAUGUAGGCCCUCAAAGGUAGUGGCGGACCCUCCCGGAGCCUCCUUUGCGUAGUAACUUUACGUCUCGCACUGGGAUCCGGAGGGACUCUUGCCGUAAAACCCCCCAAUUUUCCAAAGGUUGACCUCGGAUCAGGUAGGAAUACCCGCUGAACCUAAGCAUAUC